rnacentral:misc_RNA from 1 species
UCAAACUUGGUCAUUUAGAGGAAGUAAAAGUCGUAACAAGGUAACCGUAGGUGAACCUGCGGUUGGAUCAUUACAGAAAAAUAUGGUCGUUCCAGAAGCCGACAGGCUACUGACGAUGCAUAUUUCACACCCACUAUGUGAACGUUUCCUGUAUUUUGGCGGCCGCGCUUGAAGGGGGUGCGCGGAAGAUUUCAUAGGGCGUUGCUUCUGAGCAACGCUCCGUGGUUUGUAAGAGUUGUGAAACGGACGUCUUUUGCCUCUGGGCUAGAGACCGAUGUGAUCUUUUGCGCAACCGGACCAAAAACGAAGAGCGAUUUGUUCUCCAAAUCUCUGCCGUCUCUGCGGUCGCCAGCCAAUUUGGUUAAACUCCAUCGAUUAUUUUUUGUGUGAUAUUGCCUCUCAUGAGGUCAUUUCAAUCUGAAAACAACUUUUGACAACGGAUCUCUUGGCUCUCGCAUCGAUGAAGAACGCAGC